AGAGUUUGAUCCUGGCUCAGGAUGAACGCUAGCGGCAGGCUUAACACACGCAAGUCGAGGGGCAUCGGGAGUAGCAAUACUUGCCGGCGACCGGCGCAAGGGUGCGUAACGCGUGAGCAACAUGCCCGUAUCAGGGGGAUAAUCCAGGGAAACUUGGUCUAAUACCGCAUAAUAAUCAUUUGGGGCAUCUUGGAUGAUUUAAAAUUUCGAUGGAUACGGAUUGGCUCGCGUGACAUUAGCUGGAUGGUAGGGUAACGGCCUACCAUGGCUACGAUGUCUAGGGGUUCUGAGAGGAAGGUCCCCCACACUGGAACUGAGACACGGUCCAGACUCCUACGGGAGGCAGCAGUGAGGAAUAUUGGACAAUGGAUGGAAAUCUGAUCCAGCCAUGCCGCGUGCAGGAAGACGGCCCUAUGGGUUGUAAACUGCUUUUGUAUGGGAGCAAUAAGGGCUACGUGUAGUCCGAUGAGAGUACCAUACGAAUAAGGACCGGCUAACUCCGUGCCAGCAGCCGCGGUAAUACGGAGGGUCCGAGCGUUAUCCGGAUUUAUUGGGUUUAAAGGGUGCGUAGGCGGUUUUAUAAGUCAGCGGUGAAAUUUUCCGGCUCAACCGGGAUACUGCCGUUGAUACUGUAAGGCUAGGAUAUGGUUGCUGUGGGUGGAAUGUGUGGUGUGCGGUGAAAUGCUUAGAGAUCACACAGAAUAUCGAUUGCGAAGGCAGCUCACAAAGCCAUUAUUGACGCUGAGGCACGAAAGUGUGGGGAUCAAACAGGAUUAGAUACCCUGGUAGUCCACACUGUAAACGAUGAUAACUCGCUGUCGGCGAUAUAAAGUCGGUGGCCAAGCGAAAGCGAUAAGUUAUCCACCUGGGGAGUACGACCGCAAGGUUGAAACUCAAAGGAAUUGACGGGGGCCCCGCACAAGCGGAGGAACAUGUGGUUUAAUUCGAUGAUACGCGAGGAACCUUACCCGGGCUCGAACGGUGCAGGAAUACUACAGAGAUGUAGUAGCUAGCAAUAGUCUGUAUCGAGGUGCUGCAUGGUUGUCGUCAGCUCGUGCCGUGAGGUGUCGGCUUAAGUGCCAUAACGAGCGCAACCCUUGUCGUUAGUUGCCAUCAGGUCAAGCUGGGAACUCUAACGAGACUGCCACCGUAAGGUGUGAGGAAGGGGGGGAUGACGUCAAAUCAGCACGGCCCUCACGUCCGGGGCGACACACGUGUUACAAUGGCAGGUACAGAGGGGAGCUACCCAGCGAUGGGGUGCGAAUCUCAAAAGCCUGUCUCAGUUCGGAUUGGAGUCUGCAACUCGACUCCAUGAAGUUGGAUUCGCUAGUAAUCGCGCAUCAGCUAUGGCGCGGUGAAUACGUUCCCGGGCCUUGUACACACCGCCCGUCAAGCCAUGGAAGCCGGGGGUGCCUGAAGUUCGUGACCGCAAGGAGCGACCUAGGGCAAAACUGGUAACUGGGGCUAAGUCGUAACAAGGUAACCGUA
rnacentral:rRNA from 1 species